UACAGAGGUCUCAAGCGUUGUUCGGAUUCAUUGGGCGUAAAGGGUGCGUAGGUGGCGCCGUAAGUCGGGUGUGAAAUUUCGGAGCUUAACUCCGAAACUGCAUUCGAUACUGCGGUGCUUGAGGACUGGAGAGGAGACUGGAAUUCAUGGUGUAGCAGUGAAAUGCGUAGAGAUCAUGAGGAAGACCAGUGGCGAAGGCGGGUCUCUGGACAGUUCCUGACGCUGAGGCACGAAGGUCAGGGGAGCAAACGGGG
rnacentral:rRNA from 1 species